AGCAGCCGCGGUAAUUCCAGCUCCAAUAGCGUAUAUUAAAGUUGUUGCAGUUAAAAAGCUCGUAGUUGAAUUUCGGGGUUAGCAGGUCGGUCGUGCCAUCGGUAUGAACUGGUCUCGCUGAUCCCUCCCUCUUGACGAACUGUGAUGCCAUUAAUUUGGUGUCGCAGGGAAUCAGGACUGUUACUUUGAAAAAAUUAGAGUGUUUAAAGCAGGCUCACGCUUGAAUACAUUAGCAUGGAAUAAUGAAAUAGGACGUUUGAUCCUAUUUUGUUGGCUUCUAGGAUUGACGUAAUGAUUAAUAGGGAUAGUUGGGGGCAUUAGUACUCAAUUGUCAGAGGUGAAAUUCUUGGAUUUAUUGAAGACUAACUACUGCGAAAGCAUUUGCCAAGGAUGUUUUCAUUAAUCAAGACGAAAGUUAGGGGAUCGAAGACGAUCAGAUACCGUCGUAGU
rnacentral:rRNA from 1 species